AGUGAACGCUGGCGGUAGGCCUAACACAUGCAAGUCGAACGGCAGCACAGUAAGAGCUUGCUCUUACGGGUGGCGAGUGGCGGACGGGUGAGGAAUACAUCGGAAUCUACUUUUUCGUGGGGGAUAACGUAGGGAAACUUACGCUAAUACCGCAUACGACCUACGGGUGAAAGCAGGGGAUCUUCGGACCUUGCGCGAUUGAAUGAGCCGAUGUCGGAUUAGCUAGUUGGCGGGGUAAAGGCCCACCAAGGCGACGAUCCGUAGCUGGUCUGAGAGGAUGACCGCCCACACGGGAACGGGGACAGGGCCCAGACCCCGGCGGGGGGGAGCAGGGGGGAUUAUUGGACAGGGGGCCCAAGCCUGACCCAGCCAUCCCGGGUGGGGGAAGAAGGCCUUGUGUUUGUACGGCCUUUUUGUGGGGAAAAAAAAGAAGCAGUUUAAUCCCCCCCUGUUCGGACGGCCCCCAAAAAAAAACCCCCGGCCAAUUUGGCC
rnacentral:rRNA from 1 species